GGCAAUUUUACUGAAUGGGGAGCAUUGGGUGUCAAUGGGUUAACCAGACUUCUUGCCCAUGUCUCUGGUGAAACCAUUUAGCCAUAAUGCACCCUACUUUGAUAUUUUACUCUAUCUAAUGCCAGAAUAAUUAACAUUAUAAGGAGAAUUGUUGGGAACUGUGAUUGUUUUAAUUAAACUAGAUUGAUUAUCUAGACCCAAUGCCUAAAAUAAGGAGACGACCAUUUGGAUAGAGUUUCCCGAAGAAUGAAGCAGAUUCUUUGUUCUUAAAUAGUUAAAACAAUAACACUUUUAAAUGGAGGGGAACAAGAUAGUUGUAAAUAUUACAUAAUGUAUUAUAAAUAGUUGUAAUUAGAAAAUAUUACUUGACAAAACAAAACAAUCAGAUUACUGUAGGUUGAAAAUAAUGUUAAUAAUAUAGUAAGCCAAAUAGCAAUAUUACAACAAUAUAUAGAAAGUAAGAAAUGAAAACCCCUAUCACAUAUUUAAUUACUCAUCUGCAAGUUUAAAACAAUACAAUACAAUACAAUACAAUACAAUACAAUACAAUACAAUACAAUACAAUACAAUAUAUAUACAAUAUAUAUACAAUACGAUACGAUACGAUACGAUACGAUACGAUACGAUACGAUACGAUACAAUAUACAAUACAAUAUACAAUACAA